rnacentral:lncRNA from 1 species
GGGAGCUGGUGUGUGAACUAAGGUCUGAAUGGUACAGAAGAGGUAACUCCUAGGUGGAGAAGCUAAGGUUGGCUUGUCCAGGCUCCUUAAUUAACUGAAGAGAACAGAGAGGAGCCGUAUCUUACCCAUGGUUUGCACAGCCUCUAGAAUUCUGUUCUUUGACCUCCCAAGCUGGUACUUGGUCACUUACAGCUCUUAAAUCUUUAUGAAAUCUUAGCUCCUGGAGGGUGAGGCUGGGCUUCUUUGAAUAGCCCUCCCGAUAAUCAUCUCUGUACCCCAGCUCCUGGUAUCCGGAUCUCCAUCUUCUGAUAGCUGUGAGCUUGCUCCACGGCAGCCAGCCCUGCAGAGAUAUGAGAGGCAGGGCAGAGACAGAGAGCAAAGUGGCUGAGUGGGCCUUGUCAUUAGUUGCUGAACGCAGUAAACCCAGUGGACUCCCAGCCUUAUAAUGACCUCGUGUAAUUAAUGCUAAAGGACGGUGGGACCCGUAUGGAUUUAUACAUUAGCUCCACAUUAACACUAAAUCGUUUGAUCACGAAUCACUGUUAAAAUAAUGAACAUGGGGCGCUUUACAACCAGAUGAGAGGAUGCAGCAGGCUCCUGCCAGCCUGGAAAUUGAAGCACCUGCGAGAUCCUUUGCCUUUCUCCUGCUCUGCAAGUUGUUUCUUGUUGUUGUUUGGGGAACACUGCAGAAGACUGUGGUGGCAAUGGGAGUGGAGGCAUAAGAACUGGGAAGGAUGGGCUAUCCUCGGACAUGACAAGUUCCUUGCAUUCAGGAUUGCUGAACUGUGAUUGUCUGCACAAGGCUCACACAAGAACAGGCCUGUCAGCAUCCUGUCAUGAGGGAGAUAGGCUCACAAGGCCGCUCCAGUCACUGAAGAUCUAUAAUCAGUUAAUCCUUGCUGGAGGAGGGAGAGACCUCAACGAAGAAGGGAGACUGUGUGAGAAACCAAGACUGAGCAUCAUAGAAUGGAGUCCUUAGAAAUAUAGACUAGAUUCUGG